GCCCAAGGUGUGUGAUUCGCACCUGUGUGUGCGAGGAAGUUGCUUAUCUGGCUGCACACUCUGAUGCCAGCAGGUGCCAGGCCACUCCUGAGCCCCCAGGACUCAAGCCACAGUCUAACCCUGGACCCUCGUUGAGCCGACGCUUUGGCCCAGAAAUGGGGUCAGGCUUGCUGCAGUUUGGCCAGUGGGUGUGCAGACACGCAACUUGCCCUCCAUUGCAUCUUAAUGAAGUACCAUGAAGCAAAUGCCCAGGAGACAACCAGCUGCAUCCAGAAACACCACUGCCAGCACCUGGAGCCCCACCCCCUGGCCAGUACCCUCGACCUUCUCCCUCGAGUCACUGCUAAUAAUCCGCAUAGAAUUCCGGCACCUGCUCGGGUGGGACCUGCCGCUGUGGCCCCGCUUCGGGCGAGGAAGUGGCCUGGGCAGAGGUGCCCACUCCUCCAUCUGCAGACUCAGUGCCACCAGGAGUCAGCAAGGCCUGGCGAGGUAAGGCUGAGUCAUUGUUAUGUAAUGCCUACUGGGCAUGCAUUGUGAGGUCAUUCACUCGCCUGAUUUUUCUUAUAAAAUUGUCUGGUUACUAGUACAUAUUUAUAUCUUGGCUAAUAAUAUGUACAUGAAAGUAAUAAAACUUCACUUUUGCAGAAGUACCCAACUUAUGCCACCUUUUCCUGCCAGCCCGUUCCAAGAGCCUUCUGGGCCCAGAGCGGGUCUGAGCGGCUUGCUUUUUUUUUGUUAAUCCUCACCCGAGAAUAGUUUUCCAUUGGGUUUUAGAGCGCGCGGAAGAGAGAGGGAAGGACAGAGAGAAACAUAGAUGUGAGAAACACAUCGAUUGGUU